GGGGCGUGGUCAAGCGGUAAAGAAACAGGUUUUGGUCCAAUAACUCGGAGGUUCAAAUCCUUCUGUCC
rnacentral:tRNA from 1 species